AAAUCUUUCUCAUAAAGAAACUCUCUUUUUCUUCAUUGUUUCUCUGGAAAAUCCAAAGCUUUAAUUUCAUUGUCUACUUCCUGUCGUUUUUUGUAAUGUGUUUUCUAAAAUUGAGAUAAAGAGUAUUAGUGGUGAAGGAGGAGACUAAGCUACGAAAGAGCUGCUGUCGGAGUUGCAGGGAUGGUAACAUCGUCGAUCGUCACCACAACCACCAACGCCAUCUCUCCCAUCCGCCAUCGCUCGUCACCACCUCCACCACCAUCGCUUCUCAGAUCCGCCUUCGCCGGUCUCCGUCUUCAACGGAGUCGCGACCACCACUAUCUGAAGCUCUAUCUCUAACAACAUAUUCUCGAUUUGAAAGUUGGAAUCUUUAUCAUCUCAAUUGUGUGUAUAUAUGUUUUCAGAGCUUUUACUCAGAAGAAGCUCGAAGAUCUCAAAAUCACUCUUUCCCUCCCUCGCUUCCCAAUCUCAGAACAAUGACUUAUACCCCCCAUUUCCAGGCAACCUACGAGAAAGUUAUUGAUGAUGAGGCUGUGAAAGCAGCGGUCUUGGUCUUGAAUAAGGUCACACCAUCAACAUAGCUUCUCUGCCUUUGAUGGUUCUACUUCGUUAUUCCCUUUUCAGGGAACUAGAGUUAUAGAUGAAUCUCAUGAUCAAAAUACCACUGAUCAUGUGUCUUCUGGUUUCAGCGAUGAGUCGGAGAUGCAGCGGCAUUGAGAUAGGUUCAAGACGGAGUGAGAAGCAGAACACGAGGCAGAGGAGCUCUCGUGAAGAUAUAAGUGGAGAAGCUCGUUAUUGAGGAUGAUGGUCCAUGGGAGCUGGUCUGAGUUUUGAUAUUGAAGAAGAUGAGAAGCUGGUUGGAGAAGAUGAGAUGGGAGCAGAGAUUAGAGUUUGAGAUUGAAUGUUAAUGUAUGCAGCUCUUUGAUAGGUUGAACGUAGAGUUUUUUUUUUUUUGAAACAUGAACGUAGAGUUAGCCAUCACAAAUCGUACUUGGAAGUUGGAAAUAUUGUCUUAAAUCCUUAUCUCAAAUCCUUGUAUGUUUAAUAAAAAACAUAUGGAAUUUUAUUUCUUA